UAGCAUGUGUCAGUAUUUCCUUCUUUUUAAAAACUUUUAAGUCUUUGUAUUUUUGAUUAUUUGUUUCCUUUAGCCUACAUAUAUGUUCAAUGAUUCCAUCUUAUAAUAAUAAAAAUAACAAAAAUCUUCAUGGCUCCCUCUCUUUCUCAGAUAAACCCUCAAACUUCUGUUUUUCUUCUUUUUAAUCAUUAUCAUAAAAAAGCCCUACCUACCUCAAGUACUCAAUUCUGUACUCUUUGGGAUCUGGUUUCCAUCUCACCACUCUUCUAAAACUAUUAUUUCCUUGAAGAGUGUUAGAAUCUCCCUGAAUUAAAAAAGAAAUUUUUUAAAAUAAAGUCUUCGAUAGCAUAAUGUGCUUAUGGGAAAUCUACUUUAAUUUCUUGGUUUAUGUUUUCUUCCAGACUGAGUUCUUUGCUCAUCUUUUGCAUGCUGUCUUCUUUCACUUCUCAUUUUCCUUUAGUUUAGUGUUGUCUGGUUUUGUUUCCAGCCACAGAACAUCUGUAGAGCAGACAGAAAUCACCCAUGCUUUAGACAGCUCUGCUCAGAUGGCCAAUUGCCCUUCUAUGCUGCAAUGGAUUCUACUUGACAUGUUCUCCACCCCAUUCUGAGACUAGUUCAUUUUGCCUUUCCAGUUUUAAGGCUGGAUAUUGCUUUUAGAUCGCUGUUCUGUAACCUGGUGGUAUGAGGAGGGUAGUGGUCGAGCCAAGCUGGGGCCGAGCCAGCCCAGCGGGCGUGAGCUCUAAAAGGGUUCCGAGACUGUCAAAUGUAACAGGGCCCACUUGACCUAGAAAGCGAUACAUCUAACUCCCGUGAGGUUUGGCUCAUCUCCCCAGCUCAACCUAAUGUCUUGGAGGGUGUGGAGUCCUUGUAAUCUUUUUAGCAUCUUUCAAGGGCCCCAAGGGAGAGAAGGGCUUCUAAUCUGGAAGAAUUCUACAAUUUUUCCCAGGGAUGCCAAUCCAUGACCUUAGUCCACUUCUCUGUGAACCAGAAGGGUUUAGUGAGAAGGCUCAAGAUGUUGUUGGCUCAGUCAGUCAUCUUAUUUCUUCAGUAGUGCUUUUGGGGAAGAGAAAGCAGUCAGGAGCCACACCAGACUGUACCACUCCAGAAUCAUUUGGUCCUUCCCUUGAUGCUUCUUUUUCAAAGUGUAUGACAUCAAGCUCUUCCUUUUUUCUUGUUUAAUUGAGGCAGGUAAGUUUUUACUGUUUCCUUUGUUUUAUUGUUUCCUGGGCUUUUGUGUUCGUUUUCAAUAUUUUGUUCAUUGCUUUAACUACUGGGGAGAGAUUCUACGAGUUGGCUUUGUUCCGCCUUCUGUGCCUGGAAGUCCAAUAGCCUUGUCCUCAUGACUAGAUGUAAUGAUCUUUUCUUGGUACUCAUUCCUCUCCACCUUUUAAGCAUCUUAAUACCAUUGACUAUGCCCUUAUCGGACCCGGGUCACAUGAGGAUGCUCCUCCUUGGCUCUAGGAUCUCUUUCUUUCUGACUCCUUCUCACAAAGAUGAAGCUGUUGGUCUACUUCACAGUUCUUCAUGCUAGAUGCACAUUAGAGUCACCAAGGGAGCAUUUUAGAAGUACUUUACCCCCAGGAAUUCUAGUUUAUUUAGCUUGAGGUUGAGCCAGCAUUUAAAAAAUCUCUCCAGGGGAUUUAAUGAGUGGCAGGAAUUAAGAGCCAGAGGUCUCUGUGUAGUGACAGCCCCUCGCAGCUCCCAUGCUGGAAAGCUGUCUUCCUCUAUAAGGAAGGCAGGUGGUACUUACCAGAAAUCCCCUGAAAGUGCAAGUAGUUAAUCUUAGCAAGAGAGAGGAUUCCAUGAGCAAAACCCCCCACAAAAUAUAGAGAAGACGUAAGAACAGCAGAGGAAGAGGAGCUCAAAACAGUAUGCUGAUUCUGUUUCGUGAGUUGAGAAUGGGACCUGGAAGUUAUAUUUUUUAAAAGCCACAUAGAUAAUUUUGGGAAUCCAUGAGAUUUGAGAACUGGUGCUCCAGACAUCCUUUGCUUGUUUCCUGCCAAACAUGAAGUUUUGGAAAGGUCUUUCUGAUGCAUCCUGUCUUGCCCAAACUCAUGCCCCUGGCCUUUUUUUUUUUCCCCCGCAUGGAUGAGCUAUUUGGAAGAACCCACAGAGUUUCAAUUUGUCCUUACCCCCACUCCAUCUUCCACGCUGUUACUAGAACAGAGGUCCUCAAACUUGAAUGUGCAUCGGAAUUAGCUGGGCACCUUAUACAAUACAGAUUGCCAAGCUCCAUGAUGAGAAUUUCUGACUCUAAAGUCUGGGGUUGAAGCCAUAGUCUGGAUUUCUAUCAAGAUUCCAGGGGAGGCUGCAGUUGCUGGUCUGGGGCCAUACCUCAAGAAGCACUGUACCAGCUAGAGUGAUUGUCCUAAAUCAGAUUGGGGCAUUUGUCCCUUGCCUAAAACCCUCUCAUGUUUACAGUAUAAAACCCAAGCAUUGAGCAUGGGCACAGUCACUUCAGCUUUUCCAGUGACAUCUCCCUCCACUGCAUCUCUGGUUCAGGCACACUAAACAUUUCCCUGUUCUACUGCCAUGGCCUGUUCUUUCACACUCUCUGUCUUUGCAUAUACAGUCUCUCCCUGGAGUCUUUCUCCUCUUUCUAUAUUGGGCAGACUCCUACUCAUCAGGAAAGAUUCUGCUUAAAUGUCACUUUCUCCAUGAAACCAUCACCGAAUCCUUCAGAAAUAGAGUUUCUCUCUCUUCUCCUCUGUGCUCAAAUUUGAAGUGCAUCACAUUGCAUUUUGACGAUCUGUUUGCAUAUCUUUCUAACGAUUCUGAGCCUCUGUUAAAUUUUACUCUCUUUAUCGCUAUAUUCUCUGUUUCUCUAAAACCUAGCACAAUGUCUAGCACAAAAUACGCGGUAAAUUGACACAUUGCAUGAAAGACUGGAUAGUCAAGGGCAAACUAUAUAAGCAAAGAGUUGGUUGGUUUUUUCCAUAAAGCAUAAAAGUAUUUAAAGUGAAAAGACAAAAUUAUUCUUUAGAUGGGGGUUGGGCAUAUCAGAUAGCUGGAUCGGAAAACUGUUUUCAAGGCUAGACAGUAUGGAAAAUAUGCAGAUUUCCAAAGAGAAUUCCUAGGCCACUGUACUCUCUCCAUAGGAAUUAAUGCUACUGUCCUCAUUCCUUACCCCACCCUCCCAAAAAGGCCUUAGCAUUUUAAUCUCAUUGGCACGAAAGAGAGUUUGGAUGUGGCUCGCUUUUCUGAGCAAAUAAACUGCAAUUAUUUUACCUGACAAAAAGUCAGAGAAAUGACUCAAUAACACCCUUCUCAUUUGAAAUAUAGGACACAUUGUAAUUUGGAAGCUAGAGACCCAAAGUCCUUCCUUUUUAUUAAGAUUAAUGAACGUAUCUUAGGGCUUAAAGAUACUUAAGUGGCCACAGGAGAAAUUUAGUGUGGUUCAAAAAAAUAAAUUAUAGUCAUCCAUUCUCAAGUUUCUAAAAUAUUGGCUAGGCUGAAGAAACCCUAAAUUUGUAGAUGAUUCUAAGGGUGAGGACGUUUUUCUGUCACUGGCUGGUAUUUUAUAAAGUGUCAUUUGUGUUCAGCCUUGGAGAAUUUACUCCAUUAGAAGUUGGACAUUCAGAUAAAAGCUGGAUCAAGGAAAGAAAGUUGUUGGCAGAGUGUAUGUUGGUAAAUGAUUUACUAAAGCCUGUGAGUUGGUUUGUUCUGAGUUUUAAUCUUCUUUUCAAUAAAACCUUGACCAAGGACUUGGAGAUCUGCCUAGGCUUGUAUUUCAGAGGGUCAAAGUGCUAUAUGUCACCAGCAGUAGGAGAGAUUUGUGUACUGAGAUAUAUUCUGGAAUUCAACCAUCAAUUCAACGCAGCGUGAUCAUUCAUUUAUUUACUCAUUCUACAAGUUCGUGUCGAGAGCCAGUUGUGUGCCAGGUGCUCACACUGGUCUUGGGGACAGAGCAGUGAUCAAAACAGACACAAGUCUCUGCCCGCAUGGAUCUUACACUCUAGCUGGGAAGAGCCAGUAAACCAAUUGUGAGUGUGUGUGUGUGCGUGUGUGUUGGUGUGUAUAAAUCACUACGGAGAAAAACAAAGCUAGAAGCAGGCUAGAGAAUUAUGGGAGUGGUGAGACUGUGCUUUUAAACCAGGCGGUCAGGGGAGAGCUCACUGGCCUGGAGAAGGUGGAAGAGCGACUGUGUUGCUGUCUGGGGCAGGAGGCUCCCAGGCAGAGGGAACAAGAGGCACAAAGGCUCCGAGGUGGGACCACAUCUGACAUGCCUGAGGAGUAAUGAGGUCCUAGUGUGGCUGGGGCAGAAUGAGGGAGGGGAGAGUACUAGAAGAUGAAGCCCAGGGAAAUUUGGGGUGGUCAUUUAUGGCCUCGUAGGCCACUGUACCUAAUUAUUUUGGCUUUUACUUGGUAUGAAAUGAGAAGUCUUUGCAAUGUGGAUUAGAAAUGUGAUACGAUCUCUUUUAUGUUUUAACGGGGUCACUCUGGCUGCUGUCUUUGGAAUAGACAGGAGACAGGACAGAAGCGAGGGGGUGGAUUAAAAGGCUAUGACAACAAUCCAGAAAGUGGAAUGUAAUAUUUCAGCUUAACUCAAUAUCCAAGACCAUCUGCCAAGGACUUCACUUUCUUCCUCUGCUGGAGGAUGUCAGUCUUUCUAGCAACUGAUUUGCAGCCGGCAAUUGUUCACCUUGGGCUGAGGACUAAAGUCCAAACGAAUCUGUUGACCUCAGCUGCAGCUGCAUAGCUGAGAUUUCAGUGUGCUGCACAGAAACUGGGAUGGAAUGAAUUCAACUUCCUGAAGAGGAGAAGAGUCUGCAGGUGGAUCUGCAACACUGGUUGCAUCUGACCUUCAGGGUUCAUUUGCACUCCCAGUCCUGCACAGAGGGGCAGUGACCAAGAACAAAGAUGAUGGAAGUGGUGUGCUGGGAGAGGGAGCAUGGCACUUUCUGCCCUCCAAGGGGUUCAGGCUGCUUGGCGUUAACAGAGAAAUGUCCAAGUUAUUUUACUUAUCAACAUUUUUAAAACAGAAAUGGAAACCUGUGUUCUGAUUGUCUUUAAUUAUGGGAACCCCUAGAAACAUAAGAGGGACAUUAAACAAUGUUACAUCAUUAAAAAUUAUGCUGGAGGCCAGCCCGGUGGUGCAGCAGUUAAGUAAGCACGUUCCACUUCAGUGGCUCGGGGUUCGCUGGUUUGGAU